UUGAACGCUGGCGGCAUGCUUUACACAUGCAAGUCGAACGGCAGCGCGGGCUUCGGCCUGGCGGCGAGUGGCGAACGGGUGAGUAAUGCAUCGGAACGUGCCCAGUAGUGGGGGAUAGCCCGGCGAAAGCCGGAUUAAUACCGCAUACGACCUGAGGGUGAAAGCGGGGGACCGAAAGGCCUCGCGCUAUUGGAGCGGCCGAUGUCGGAUUAGCUAGUUGGUGGGGUAAAGGCUUACCAAGGCGACGAUCCGUAGCUGGUCUGAGAGGACGACCAGCCACACCUGGACUGGGGCCCGGCCCAGACUCCCACCGGGAGGCACCGUUGGGAAUUUUUGGCCAUGGGGGGAACCCUGAUCCAGCCAUGCCGCGUGCGGGAAGAAGGCCUUCGGGUUGUAAACCGCUUUUGUUCGGGAAGAAAUCCUCUGGGCUAAUACCCCGGGGGGAUGACGGUACCGGAAGAAUAAGCACCGGCUAACUACGUG
rnacentral:rRNA from 1 species